rnacentral:rRNA from 1 species
UACGGGGGGGGCAAGCGUUGUUCGGAAUUACUGGGCGUAAAGGGCGCGUAGGCGGCCCUCUAAGUCGGACGUGAAAUCCCUCGGCUUAACCGAGGAACUGCGUCCGAUACUGAAAGGCUUGAAUCCGGGAGAGGGAUGUGGAAUUCCAGGUGUAGCGGUGAAAUGCGUAGAUAUCUGGAGGAACACCGGUGGCGAAGGCGGCAUCCUGGACCGAUACUGACGCUGAGGAGCGAAAGCCAGGGGAGCAAACGGG